CCGGCCAGCCCCGGGGCCGGGCGGCUCCCGCUCACCUGCCCGGCUCCCGCGCGACGGGGUAGGAGGGGCCGGCCCCGAGUCCGCGGGGCUGCAGGGAGGAGGGUCGGUGUGCCCUGCAGUCACACCCGGCGGAGGAGAGACAGGGGGAAGAGGAAGAGGAGGCGGAGCAGGAAGCCUCAGCGCAGAAAGAAGAAAAAAAGAUUUGCUUGUGCCACACCAUGUGUUACAAGUGAUGAUUUGUUCUUGGAGAACUAUGCCAUGUAAUAUGCAUUUGAUUCCUAACACCCUUCCCAUCAGCUACCCAGUCAGCCACUCAAAGAUGCCUAUGAUGGUGUGGAAGAGUGUGCGAAAGCAUCAUAUUUCAGCCUCAUCUUCUUUUGCAGAUCAACUUCUGCUACUUGCAGCUUCCCUGAAUAGUCCAUAAAGAAAAGAGUGUACUGAAAGCAGAGUUUGCUGAAAAGAGAGAGGCAGUUUGGAAAGCUUUGUAAGAGACGUGGGAGUGGGAGGAUGCUGCCUGCAUGAGUAUGUGGUGGUGCAGGAGGACAGCAAAACCUGCUCUGCUUUUGAAAGUCACAACAUGCUGUUCCACAAGAUUGUCACUAAGAUGAGAAACUUCUGCUCUCCAGAUACGAAGCAUGGGUGCUCCUAGGCACACUGCCUUGUACUGUCAUCAAAUCCUUAAGAUGGGACGUGUGUUGGAGACUCCAGAUGGUGAGACAAGCUAAAGCUACCCGUGUGCUGCCUUAAAAAAACCCUCAUAACUGAACUGACCAGAAAAAAAUAAAGAAAAUCAUUGUGAGUCAAA